AGAGUUUGAUCCUGGCUCAGAUUGAACGCUGGCGGAAUGCUUUACACAUGCAAGUCGAACGGUAACAGGUCUUCGGAUGCUGACGAGUGGCGAACGGGUGAGUAAUAUAUCGGAACGUGCCCAGUCGUGGGGGAUAACGUAGCGAAAGUUACGCUAAUACCGCAUACGAUCUACGGAUGAAAGCGGGGGAUCGCAAGACCUCGCGCGAUUGGAGCGGCCGAUAUCAGAUUAGGUAGUUGGUGGGGUAAAGGCUCACCAAGCCAACGAUCUGUAGCUGGUCUGAGAGGACGACCAGCCACACUGGAACUGAGACACGGUCCAGACUCCUACGGGAGGCAGCAGUGGGGAAUUUUGGACAAUGGACGCAAGUCUGAUCCAGCCAUUCCGCGUGCAGGAUGAAGGCCCUCGGGUUGUAAACUGCUUUUGUACGGAACGAAAAGGCUCUUCCUAAUACGAGGGGCUCAUGACGGUACCGUAAGAAUAAGCACCGGCUAACUACGUGCCAGCAGCCGCGGUAAU
rnacentral:rRNA from 1 species